CUUCCGGUGAGCGGGAGCCGGUUCCCCUUUGUGUGUAGAUGGUCCCCAGGGCGAGCCUUCUGAUUCUGCUGGGCUGACUCUUUCACCCACCGUCCUGGACUCCUCUCCUGAGUUACAAGCCAGUACUUCUAGCUACGUAAUGGACAGCUCCACUUUGGUGAACUCAGACAACUUGAACUUAUAUACACACGGUUUCCUGUAUCCCCUUUCUGACUACCACUCCUUCAUCUGUCAAAUCAAGUUUGAAGGCCAUCUACAGGAGAAUUCCAUCUUGCUUGAGGAGGCUGGCUUUUCUGUUCAAGUCUCCAACUGAUUGGAUGAGGGAACUGAGAUCCCACAUCAACCUGCUGCAUGCCAUAGCGAAAAAUAAAAGAUCUUCAGAUCACUUUCGUACCAGAGUCAUUGAAUGUGAUGUAGGCCUGACACUUAGAAGCUAUCUCCAAGUUCUUAUGAAAUGCUGCUGUGCAUUACUGAAUUAACCCCUUUCUUUAUAACUUCCUUUUAUAUAUUUUAAUGUUUAAAUGAAUGAUGU